rnacentral:antisense_RNA from 1 species
GUUUUCCGGUCACAUCCCAGGAGCCCUAAAUACAUCCAGAUAAGGACGAACUAAUUCCUGUAUCCCAACCCCCAGAGGCAUUCUCUUGAUCCCAUUUGGCACAUCGGCCAUGGGAAGUGCUUUUGGAUCUCACUAUGCACUGCCGUCUGCCUUGGAGACCCCCUAGGCAGCCGCAUCUUUCCUCUGAGACCUGAGCCACCUGGGACCCCCAACACCCCGGGGUGAUCGGCUGCAGCCUGGGUGAAGCCUAUCCCCCCCAAGUGCAUGGGUGUCCUCACAUCCUCACAGAGAUGAGCGGAAGUGUGCAGCGCUCUCCGGCUCGUUCAGCUCAGCCAGCCCAGCCAAGCAAACCUCGCCCAGGGCCCUGACUCCUGGCUGAGGCUUCUCAUGGUCACCGGACCUCCAUUCCAUCACAAAUCCUUUGGCUCUCAUCUUCCAAACGUAUCCAGAAUGGAACCUCCUCUGACACCACCAUGGCCACCGCCCUGCCCUGAGCCACCGUGGUCUCUUGCCCGGAGAGACCCAGGUAGCCUCCUGACCGGUCUUCCUCCUCCCAAUUCUUCCCCCACUGCCUCUUCUCCAUAGUGGGCCCUGUAAGCCCCAUCCCAUCAUCCCUCUGCUCAAAGCCCAGGGCUCCUGCUUCACAGAGAGCAAAAGGCAAUGCCCUUAACAUAGCUUGCAAUGCCCUGCUCACACUG